GUAAAGCAGAUCUGCAGACUCGCAGGUCUAUCCGGCCCGCAAUCAAUUGCUAUCUGGGAAGAACAUAAAGUCGAUGGACUGAUGUUUAAAACAAUGAAACCUAUAGUUAGAGAUGUGCAUCUCCAUCUCUGAGGUGAUGCGAUACACAUCUUGAUGAUCCAACUGUAGGAGAACAUGCAGAAGGUGGAGGAGAUCAGCAAGAUGGUCAUGGAGAAGGAGCACCACAAGCUGGAGCACCCCAGCACCAGAGAGGGCCACAUUCUUAUUAGGGGGAGGCCUGGACAACUAACCAUGCAUCUUAUGGAGGAGCAUUUGGUGGUGGAACCCACGUCUAUCGAGUACUUCCUGCUCACACACAGGAGCUUCCUCCGGCCCCCUGGUUCUGGCAAUGAAACUUUUAGAAUGGUUUAACAAUCUCAGCCUCAGGGACAAGGUUACCCAGAUGGAAAAUGAACAGGCAAUUGAGACUACUGCAUAUUGCCUGCACUGUCAAGGCCAAAGUGAUGCUUGUAAUAAUCACCAGACCCUCGAGGGACACCCCCCUGUCCUGCAUGUUCCUGGGCGGCUCUGCAAAGGAUGGUAGCAGGGCCUCAGAACCGGGCCUGACGCGUGGCGAUCAGAGGUGCCGCAAGGGGAUUGUGGUUUAUUGGGGAGCAUGAGUGAAUCUACAUAUAAUAGGAGAAAUGCUUAGUGACCAGAUUUCUCUGAAGUCUGAGAUGGGCUUUCAGACAGGGAGUAAGUAUUUGGACACUGAGGUGAGGAUCAGGGAAAUAGGACAGCAAACACAAUAACACCCGAGCGACACUAAACACUACCAGAGCUAAUAUAAAUACUAAUAUAUACAUAGUCUGACACAGUAAUCAACAACGAAUGGACUAAGGAACUGUAUGCAAGUGGGUUCUUAUAUACAGGGAUGAGCUAGGACCAGCUAUUGACCUCAUGUAUAACGACGUGCCUAGAAUUCACACAAAAAAAUGGCGUACGGACAAAACUAUUGAUAUGCGUAUACGUAACAAAAAAUCCAGAUGCACAAAACUCUGUGUAAUCACAGAUCUACGCACAUUCCCUUCAUAAAUCCCAAAUAGCGUGAAAUUUUACGCACGUGAAAGAGCCAAAAGCCACCCCCCCAUAAUUAUGUAUAUGUGCAUAUGUAAAUCUGUAUAAGUACCCGCACUGUUCUGUGUUUUUCUUAAACAACAAUGGAUAAACCACGUGGGGAAAAGAAAUAUUUCAGCGAGUGUGAAGUGGAGGUAAUGUUAACAGAAAUCGAGAAAAGAAAAGUGAUAUUAUUUGGUGGUUUAAGUAGUGGCAAUAGCAAUAAACGAAAGUUGACGGAGUGCCAAAGCUUGGCGGAGUCAGUUAAAAGUGUUGGCUCCGAAAAUCGCACGGUGGCUGAAAUUAAAAUGGUCGAAUAUUAAAGUUGCCGCGAAAAAACCAGCCGCUCACCGUAAGAGUCUUAACAGCACAGGCGGAGGUAGCGGAAUUCCCGGUCUCACACUUUUAUCAGGGGAGGGGGACGCCGAUGUCAGCAGUUUUUCUCUUACCAUUCUUGUUUGAAUUAUUUGCAUGUUUAUGAAUAACAAGUAGGACGCAGAUGCGGUGUUACUUUUGUUUAUUCUUACAGACAAUAGUACAAGAGGUGCCCCCAGUGCCGAGGACGA